UUAAGAUUUCAUCUAUGUUGACAUGGAUUUGCGAGUUGAAUUCAAAGACUAAAAGAAAGCUGGAUUUGGCAAAUUCAGCGACUGGAAAGAUGAGCGACUUGGGAAAGAAGAAUAUUUGCUGCUCUUACCAAGGAAUAGAAUUCAGCUCCCAGCACACACACACAGGCUUGAGGAUAUGUGUCCCUUCCUUCAUUCUUGCUUCACCCACCAAGGACA
rnacentral:lncRNA from 1 species